rnacentral:lncRNA from 1 species
CUUCCAGUACUAUGUUGAAUAGGAAUGGUGGGAGUAAGCAUCUUGUUCCAGUUUUGUCUUGUUCCAGUUUUCAAGGCGUAUGAUUUCAGCUUUUGCCCAUUUAGUAUAAUAUUGGCUGUGGGUUUGUCCUAUAUGGCUCUUAUAAUUUUCAGGUAUGUUUCUAAUUGCAUUGUAUUGCUUGUUAGUUUAAUUGCCUUUUGUCUGAGUUCAAAGAGGUUUGUUGUUGUUGCUGUCCUUGUUUCUGUUUGGAUUUUUCUCUGAUUUGCCUGUUCUUACCCUUUGCUCAUGUAGUGAAAUGUCUACAUUGUCUAUUGUUUGGACAAAAUAUUUUCUUUAAAGAUAGAAAAAAGUUUGCUAUCUGUAAAUUGGCUAUUUCACUGAACUAAUUAAUUCUAAGUAUGGAUUUCUUUUUUUUUUUUUAAACAGUGUCCUGCUCUGUCAUCCAGGUUGAAGUGCAGUGGGCGAUCAUGGCUCACGGCAGCCUCGACCUCCCAAGAUCAAGCAAUCCUCCCACCUCAGCCUCUUGAGUAGCUGGGAGUACAGGCACAAGCUACCAUGCCCAGCUAAUUUUUGAUAUUUUAUAAAGAUGAGGUUUCGCCAUGUUGCCCUGGCUGGUCUCGAACUCGAGCUCAAGGCAAUCCACCUGCCUCAGCCUCCCAAAGUGUUGGUAUUACAGGUGUGAGCAACUAUGCUUAGCCCUGGUUUUACUUUUAACUGUAUGACCUAUAUUCAGGACUUUUGAAAAUGUAAAGAAUCCAUGUUUUCUCUCCUUCACAAAUUUUCCACAUGCAUCCUUCAUUCUCUUGUUGACUGUUCAUACCAUAAAAGAUUUAGGUUCAUUUUUAAAGACAUCUAGAUAACUGCAAAAGGAAGUGACAUUAGCGCUUCUCAUAAAUCAGGGUUUCUGGUAUGAUUACUUUGAUUAGUACUUGUUUAUUUAAUCAUUCAUUUAUUUAUGAAAUAAUAACCCAGGAUCCUCUGACAAAAUGUGCAAGAUGUUUUUCUGGGUGCCAUGCUGGGAAACCAAGAUGAAUAACACAUGGUCUUUUAUAUGUUCUUUUAUGGCCUUCAAAUCAAUAGCAGAGACAAAAAGUUGCCUUUAAAGCAAUAGCAGAGGCAAAAGAUGGGUAUAAAACCCUGUAUAACAACGUAAAAAGAAUGUGAUAAAUGUUAUUUAAAGGGUCACAGGGGUACAUAUAUACUGUUAAUUCAGGUGACAGAGAGAGAGCUCAUUUCAUAGAAGUUGAUAUUAAUCUUCAUUAUGUUACACAAGCAAGAGGGUUUCUAAGUUGAUGAUUUCAUAGUACCAACAUAGCAAAUUAUAUAUAUAUAUAUAUAAUUUUAUUGAGAUAUAAUUACAUAGAGCAAAAGACACAGUAUCUUGAAUAUAUAACACACUGACUUUUCAGUUUUUCUUCUGUCAUUUAUUUACGGCAUCAUUCCAUUGUAAUUAGAAAAAACACUUUGUAUUAUUUUAAUCUUUCAAAAUUUGUUGAGAAUUGUUUAGUAGCCUAACGUGUACUAUCCUAGAGAAUGUUCUAUGUGCACUUGAAAAGAUUAUGUAUUCUCCUGUUGUUGGGUGAGGUGUUAUAAGUCUGUCAAGUCUAGUUUGUUUGUAGUGUUGUUCAAAUCCUCUAUUUUCUAUUGACCUUAUUCCUACAUGCUCUAUCCAUUUUUGAAUGUUUUCAAUUGAAAUCUCCAACUGUUAUUGUGUGACUGUCUAUUGCUCACUUCAAUUCUGUGAAACCGUGCUUCAUAUAUCUUGGGUAUCUGUUGUUAGUAUAUUUAUUUUUAUAAUUUUGAUAUCUCCUUGAUGAAUUAUCCAUUUACUAAUAAGUAUUGACAUUUCUUGUCUUUUUUUUUGCUUUUUUUGAUUUAAUGCCUACUUUGUCUGAUAUUGUUACAGUGGCUGUAGAUUUGCAAGGAAAAUCUUUUUCCUUUUUUUUUGCUUCAACCUAUUUGUGUCUUUUAUAUCUAAAGUGAAUCCCUUGUAGACAGCACAUAGUUGGAUCACAUUUUAAUGCAUUCUGCCAAGCAAUGUCUUUUGAUUGAAGAGUUAAUUCCAUUUAUAUUUAAAGUAAUGACUGAUAAGGAAAGAUUUACCUUUGCCAUUUUGCUGUUUAAGUAUAUCUUAGAAAUUUUUUGUCCCUCUUUUCCUCCCUUAAUGCUUUCUUUAAUGUUGAUAGUUGCUUUUUUGUUAUGAACUGAUUUUCUUCUUAUAUUUUUGUAUAUAGAUUUUUAGACAUUUUGUUUAAUAUGGGGACUAUAUGUGACAUCCUAAAUUUAUAAUAAUUUAGUUGAUUUGAUGCCCACAUAACUUCAAUAACAUACAAAAUCUCUGCUCCUAUACAGCUCCAUUUUCCACCCUUUAUGUUGUCACAAAUUAUAACUUAUACAAUGUGCAUCCAAUAAUAGAGAAUCAUAAUUAUUCUUCAUAAAUUUGUCAGCUUAAUACUGUAGGAAGUAAAAAAGCUCUUCCCAGAUUUUUGCCUUAGCAAUCUACUGUUUGUUUCUAUUACAGUCAUUUGCUUCAGACAUGUGAGGAUUGUAUGACUUUCAGUGUUUUUAAGCAAUGCUUGUUCUUUUUCUGGCCUGAGUUUGACUUAGGUAAAACAAAGAUGAAAGCCUUGUGUCAGUCAUCCACGUAGUGCCCAGACAAGUUAGAAAAACCAUAUGAAAUAAUUCUACUCUUCUUACUUUGGAACCAGGGAAA